GCAGUCGAACGGUAACAGGAAACAGCUUGCUGUUUCGCUGACGAGUGGCGGACGGGUGAGUAAUGUCUGGGAAACUGCCUGAUGGAGGGGGAUAACUACUGGAAACGGUAGCUAAUACCGCAUAACGUCGCAAGACCAAAGAGGGGGACCUUCGGGCCUCUUGCCAUCGGAUGUGCCCAGAUGGGAUUAGCUAGUAGGUGGGGUAACGGCUCACCUAGGCGACGAUCCCUAGCUGGUCUGAGAGGAUGACCAGCCACACUGGAACUGAGACACGGUCCAGACUCCUACGGGAGGCAGCAGUGGGGAAUAUUGCACAAUGGGCGCAAGCCUGAUGCAGCCAUGCCGCGUGUAUGAAGAAGGCCUUCGGGUUGUAAAGUACUUCUCAGCGGGGAGGAAGGGAGUAAAGUUAAUACCUUUGCUCAUUGACGUUACCCGCAGAAGAAGCACCGGCUAACUCCGUGCCAGCAGCUGCGGUAAUACGGAGGGUGCAAGCGUUAAUCGGAAUUACUGGGCGUAAAGCGCACGCAGGCGGCUUGUUAAGUCAGAUGUGAAAUCCCCGGGCUCAACCUGGGAACUGCAUCUGAUACUGGCAAGCUUGAGUCUCGUAGAGGGGGGUAGAAUUCCAGGUGUAGCGGUGAAAUGCGUAGAGAUCUGGAGGAAUACCGGUGGCGAAGGCGGCCCCCUGGACGAAGACUGACGCUCAGGUGCGAAAGCGUGGGGAGCAAACAGGAUUAGAUACCCUGGUAGUCCACGCCGUAAACGAUGUCGACUUGGAGGUUGUGCCCUUGAGGCGUGGCUUCCGGAGCUAACGCGUUAAGUCGACCGCCUGGGGAGUACGGCCGCAAGGUUAAAACUCAAAUGAAUUGACGGGGGCCCGCACAAGCGGUGGAGCAUGUGGUUUAAUUCGAUGCAACGCGAAGAACCUUACCUGGUCUUGACAUCCACAGAACUUUCCAGAGAUGGAUUGGUGCCUUCGGGAACUGUGAGACAGGUGCUGCAUGGCUGUCGUCAGCUCGUGUUGUGAAAUGUUGGGUUAAGUCCCGCAACGAGCGCAACCCUUAUCCUUUGUUGCCAGCGGUCCGGCCGGGAACUCAAAGGAGACUGCCAGUGAUAAACUGGAGGAAGGUGGGGAUGACGUCAAGUCAUCAUGGCCCUUACGACCAGGGCUACACACGUGCUACAAUGGCGCAUACAAAGAGAAGCGACCUCGCGAGAGCAAGCGGACCUCAUAAAAUGCGUCGUAGUCCGGAUUGGAGUCUGCAACUCGACUCCAUGAAGUCGGAAUCGCUAGUAAUCGUGGAUCAGAAUGCCACGGUGAAUACGUUCCCGGGCCUUGUACACACCGCCCGUCACACCAUGGGAGUGGGUUGCAAAAGAAGUAGGUAGCUUAACCUUCGGGAGGGCG
rnacentral:rRNA from 1 species